rnacentral:lncRNA from 1 species
AUGACAGAGGUGAGAGAGACAUCAGGGCCCAGCGGUUCUGUUCCAGGGCCCAGAUUGCUUCCACUUGAUCACUUUGCUGUCCAGGUGACGGGAGUUUUAGUGCUGUGGGAGAUCUCAGGUCAGCAGCUCUUCACGGGGAUUUCUGCUGUCGCCGCUGCCCACUCGUACCCGCGCCGCUUCUCGCCUCUCUUGUUAGCCGAAGACUCGCCUCUCAGCCGCCCGCCGCACAGACGCACGAGUAGAAAGUGCAGCUCCAUCGGCUGAUCCUCGCUGAGCUCCCAGUUUAGGCGGCACCGGGCGUCCCACGAUGCCG